CCAAUAGCGUAUAUUAAAGUUGUUGCAGUUAAAAAGCUCGUAGUUGAAUUUCGGGGUCAGCAGGUUGGUCGUGCCACUGGUAUGUACUGGUCUCGCUGAUUCCUCCCUCUUGUAGAACCGUAAUGCCAUUAAGUUGGUGUUGCGGGGAAACAGGACGGUUACUUUGAAAAAAUUAGAGUGUUUAAAGCAGGCUAACGCUUGAAUACAUUAGCAUGGAAUAAUGAAAUAGGACGAUCGAUCCUAUUUUGUUGGUUUCUAGGGUUGACGUAAUGAUUAAUAGGGAUAGUUGGGGGAAUUAGUAUUCAAUUGUCAGAGGUGAAGUUCUUGGAUUUAUUGAAGACUAACUACUGCGAAAGCAUUUGCCAAGGAUGUUUUCAUUAAUCAAGAACGAAAGUUAGGGGAUCGAAGACGAUCAGAUACCGUCGUAGUCUUAACCAUAAACUAUGCCGACUAGGGAUCGGAUGAUGUUAAUUUUUUAAUGACUCAUUCGGCGCCUUACG
rnacentral:rRNA from 1 species